rnacentral:rRNA from 1 species
UUCCGUAGGUGAACCUGCGGAGGGAUCAUUACACAAUAAAAUAUGAAGGCUGUACGCGGCUGUGCUCUCGGGCCAGUUUUGCGGAGGCUGAAUUAUUUAUUACCCUUGUCUUUUGCGCACUUGUUGUUUCCUGGGCGGGUUCGCCCGCCACCAGGACCACAUCAUAAACCUUUUUUAUGCAGUUGCAAUCAGCGUCAGUAUAACAAAUGUAAAUCAUUUACAACUUUCAACAACGGAUCUCUUGGUUCUGGCAUCGAUGAAGAACGCAGCGAAAUGCGAUACGUAGUGUGAAUUGCAGAAUUCAGUGAAUCAUCGAAUCUUUGAACGCACAUUGCGCCCUUUGGUAUUCCAAAGGGCAUGCCUGUUCGAGCGUCAUUUGUACCCUCAAGCUUUGCUUGGUGUUGGGCGUUUUUUGUCUUUGGUUGCCAAAGACUCGCCUUAAAAGGAUUGGCAGCCGGCCUACUGGUUUCGCAGCGCAGCACAUUUUUGCGCUUGCAAUCAGCAAAAGAGGACGGCAAUCCAUCAAGACUCCUUCUCACGUUUGACCUCGGAUCAGGUAGGGAUACCCGCUGAACUUAAGCAUAUCAAUAAGCGGAGGA